rnacentral:rRNA from 1 species
GUGAGGAAUAUUGGUCAAUGGGCGGGAGCCUGAACCAGCCAAGUCGCGUGAAGGAAGAAGGAUCUAUGGUUCGUAAACUUCUUUUGCAGGGGAAUAAAGUGCAGGACGUGUCCUGUUUUGUAUGUACCCUGAGAAUAAGGAUCGGCUAACUCCGUGCCAGCAGCCGCGGUAAUACGGAGGAUCCGAGCGUUAUCCGGAUUUAUUGGGUUUAAAGGGUGCGUAGGUGGUUUGAUAAGUCAGCGGUGAAAGUUUGCAGCUUAACUGUAAAAAUGCCGUUGAAACUGUCGGACUUGAGUGUAAAUGAGGUAGGCGGAAUGCGUGGCGUAGCGGUGAAAUGCAUAGAUAUCACGCAGAACUCCGAUUGCGAAGGCAGCUUACUAAGCUACAACUGACACUGAAGCACGAAAGCGUGGGGAUCAAACAGGAUUAGAUACCCGUGUAGUCC